rnacentral:rRNA from 1 species
UACGGAGGGUGCAAGCGUUAUCUGGAUUCACUGGGUUUAAAGGGUGCGUAGGCGGGUAGGUAAGUCAGUGGUGAAAUCUUCGAGCUUAACUCGGAAACUGCCUUUGAUACUAUCUAUCUUGAAUAUUGUGGAGGUAAGCGGAAUAUGUCAUGUAGCGGUGAAAUGCUUAGAUAUGACAUAGAACACCUAUUGCGAAGGCAGCUUACUACGCAUAUAUUGACGCUGAGGCACGAAAGCGUGGGGAUCAAACAGG